CACGAUAGCGCAGGCCCUAAGCGUAGAAUCAACUAUGCGGACGGGUCAUGUCUAUUACCCUUGUUUAUUGAGCACCUAGUUUCCUUGGUAGGCUUGCCUGCCAAAAGGACACCCUUUUAAACCUUUUUAUUUUCAAUCAGCGUCUGAAUAAAAAUAAUAAUUA
rnacentral:misc_RNA from 1 species